rnacentral:rRNA from 1 species
AACGGCCGUACCAUGCUGAGUUACCGGUUCUCGUUAGAUCACCGAAGUUAAGCAUCAUUGGGCGCGGUCAGUACUUGGGUGGGUGACCACCUGGGAACACUGCGUGCCGUU